UGGGGGAUAUUGCACAAUGGGCGAAAGCCUGAUGCAGCAACGCCGCGUGAGGGAAGACGGUUUUCGGAUUGUAAACCUCUGUCUUUGGUGAAGAAAGAAAUGACGGUAGCCGAGGAGGAAGCCACGGCUAACUACGUGCCAGCAGCCGUGGUAAUAAGUAGGUGGCAAGCGUUGUCCGGAAGUACUGGGUGUAAAGGGAGCGCAGGCGGGAGAGCAAGUCAGCUGUGAAAACUAUGGGCUUAACCCAUAAACUGCAGUGGAAACUGUUUUUCUUGAGUGGGGUAGAGGUAGGCGGAAUUCCGAGUGUAGCGGUGAAAUGCGUAGAUAUUCGGAGGAACACCAGUGGCGAAGGCGGCCUACUGGGCUCUAACUGACGCUGAGGCUCGAAAGUGUGGGGAGCAAACA
rnacentral:rRNA from 1 species